rnacentral:lncRNA from 1 species
CAGAUGAGGAGACUGAGACUGAGAGAGGGGAAGUCACUUGUCUGAGGCCACACGGCCAGUACAAGGGCUGGAGCAGCCAGAAGUGGAGGCCACGAAGCAGGCCCUGACCAGCUGUGGCUUUGACUGCUUGGAAACCAGCAUCGGUGCCCCCGGCGUCUCCAUCCACUCAGCCACCUCCCUGGACAGCCGAGUCCAGCAAGCCCUGGAUGGCCUCUGAGAGGAGCCCACGACACUGCAGCCCCACCCAGAUGCCCCUUUCUGGAUUAUUCUGGGGGCUGCAGUUCGACUCUGUGCUGGCCAGCGAGCGCCCAGCUCCUGACACUGCUGGAGAGGCCCCAGCCGCUUGGCGAUGCCAGCCAAGCUCUGCAGUCCCAGCGGUGGGACCUAGGGAGGCAUGGUCUGCCCUCUGCAUCCUCUGGAGCCAGCCGAGCAGGAGGCCUAGGAGGGUCCUCUGAGACUCCAGACCUGAGGCGAGAAGGGCUGCUUCCCUGAAGCUCCCACAGUCCCAUCUGCUUCAGGCCCCCGCCUUGGCCUGUGUUCUUCCUGGCCGCCUGGGUCCAAUGCUCAGGUGCUGGGGCCUGGUUCCCGGAGAAGUGUGCCUUCUCUCUCCCUUUUCAGGGACCGCCCCCUGUCUCUCAGGGCCAGGCCUCUCCCUCCUCCAGGAAGCCUUCCCCUACCCCUUGUCGCCCCUCCCUCCCAGAGCACCUGCUGUCUGGGUGGCUCACUCAGCACUUGGUGUGGCCUUCCCUUCUACCUAGCGGGAUGGGGCUCCCCCAGGGGCUGUCCCGGAGGCGGUGGGCCUGGUUAAAUAAGGCAGGGUUUAUAUGCACUUUCUUCCGAUCUGUACCUGAGAGGUUUGUGGAAAAGAUGGCAAAUGGGGAAUAAAAAGAUUUUGU